GUGAGGAAUUUUCCGCAAUGGGCGAAAGCCUGACGGAGCAAUGCCGCGUGAAGGAUGAAGGCCUAUGGGUUGUAAACUUCUUUUCUCAGAAAAGAAUUAUGCCGGUAUCUGAGGAAUAAGCAUCGGCUAACUCUGUGCCAGCAGCCGCGGUAAGACAGAGGAUGCAAGCGUUAUCCGGAAUGAUUGGGCGUAAAGCGUCUGUAGGUUGUUUAAAAAGUAUUCUGUCAAAGAUUAGGGCUUAACCCUAGAUAGGCAGAAUAAACUUUUAAGCUAGAGUUUGGUAGAGGCAGAGGGAAUUCCCGGUGGAGCGGUGAAAUGUGUAGAUAUCGGGAGGAACACCAAAGGCGAAGGCACUCUGCUGGGCCAAUACUAACACUGAGAGACGAAAGCGAGGGGAGCAAAUGGGAUUAGAUACCCUAGUAGUCC
rnacentral:rRNA from 1 species